rnacentral:lncRNA from 1 species
ACCAGCACGAACCAGACAUUGGAGCGUAGUCAAGCUGAUAUUUGCCACGGUACCGAAUAACAAACUUCCUAAUAGUUUCUAUGAGUUCUAACCAUAGAUUAGAGGCUUCAUGCGCGCGAUCGGUCAAGGUGUGCUUAUAGUUGAACUAGGGAUGAUAGACAAGUUAACAAAUAAAAAAUAUUCGUGUUUGUUGAAACAGUUGAAAAAAAAAGUGUUACUACUGCGCAUUACUAGUCCUUAGUAAGGCGCCAACAACACAAAUUAUUCAUACGUGUUGCGUAAUCAUUGUUAAAUGGUCCCUGAAUAUGUGUAUGCGUGUGGUUUUUCAAAAGAACUUUAACAAGAAGAACACAGCGAGAUAGAAGAACGUACAGAGGACCUUCUUGUGAUACCCGAAGAGCGUGUUUGUCGCUUUGUCUGUGCGUCUUAAUGAGACAGGUUCUACUGUUCUCAGAUUAACAAAACUGAUCGCCAUCCUCGGGCUGCAAAUACAAGUGUAUUACUGAUUGUGUUGUUAGUUACCAGGCAGUACAAUCGCGUAUCAUUGGCUAGUAGGCUCAUAUGACAGAAUUAGAGUCGGAGCUGUCAAUAUUUCUAUGGAACUAUGACCGAAAGAGAUGUGAUUUUGCAUACUGCUACAAUGCGUUGGCCGUCACUAAUGUUUGUGGUCAUAUUUACAGUGCUGAGAUCAUUACAGCCAACAGCAUAAAGUUUUACGUAGAGUGAGCAUCGAACGUUUACGUGUUUUUUUUGGGAGUCGAAAAGCUGAAAAGUUGCGCGUGAAUAUUCUAUGUCUAAAGACGCGACAUGUAUCAAGCCCUCUUAUUGAAUAAUGAGCCAAGUUCACUACAUUUUUCCUCCCCUCGAAGACAGAGUAAGACAAUGUCCCGGCAGAAGGACUUCAAUAAAGGCACUCUAUUAGCCUUAUCACUCAGAAGAUAUCAAGAUGUCAAUUUAAAAUGUUUGACGCUUCGUUGAACUGCUGUUCUUCGUGGAAAUCGAUAGAGUAAUUAGCGAUUUACAGGAUUUGUUCCAUAAGAGAAGAUUCAAAAGAGGCAGAUGGACAUUUGACAAAAUGCCUUAGAAAUGUGUCAAAAUAAUUAGAAAAAGCUUCGCCGGUGCGGACGCAUCAGCUGAUCGAUUUUUCCGCAGGUAAUUUUCUUCCGAAACCAGCACUUGACACGACACAGAUGCGACUGAACGAUCACGGCAACCGAUGGUAUUGGACCAUUGAUGUCAAGAGGGCAUGGAUAAUGGCCAACGACAUUAACUACCUUGGCAGACCGUUUUUGAGGUUGUUUCGAGGAUAGCGCGAAUAUUCGUCUGCAGCUAGGCGAGGACGAAAGAUAAGCCUCGAAUGGGAGACAUUUACGUUCAAUCAGGCCCACUAGUCUAAUGUUCGAUCCAUUCGAUCGUCGAGCAAUUAACUUUUCAUAGAUCGGUUUGACCCGAUCAUUACGAAUGGUCUUCAGUAGAUUGAUAAGAGUACUCUUUAUUCGGCCAGGGAGCAUCAUCAGACCCAACUCGCGGCGUAGCAGAGAUCGACUAUGCUGGAUCGGUACAAUGCGCGUGUGACAACGUACUUAUGAAUAGACAUUGUUUUAUCUAGUCAACUUAUGCGUCUAAACUUAGAGCAGGAGAUCCUCAUUUAGCAAACCGCAUGAGGAAUACCCGAUUACAAAGUUAUUAUGCAACAUAAUAACUCUGUGUCGGGUACCGGCAACAGCCAUGAAUAUGGAAAGAAAUAGGGAGUGGGAGAUGACAAAAAGAUCAUCUUUGCGGCGAUGCCGGACGCUACAUAUGAACUCAAGGCGUUUCGCGGGACUAAGUGAUUCGCCAGGAACGGCAGCGCAUCAGGACAUCCGGUGGGCGCUUUCUGGACGGAACCUCGUAGACUUUCAAGGACACCUCGGUUCCCGGAAUUUGUCUGUGCCGAAGGUAGCAUAUGACCCUUCACAUCUGCAACUAUAUUCCGGCUGAAUGUGGUUUAGUAGGCUGCAGCCUCGGUCUAGACCUUGCUCAGGAUGUGUGGAUGGAAAAUACUGUGAAUUGGA